rnacentral:rRNA from 1 species
AUUGAACGCUGGCGGCAGGCCUAACACAUGCAAGUCGAGCGAGCGGAGGACGGGAGAGUAAUGUAUGGGGACUGCCCGAUAGAGGGGGCUAACUACGGGAAACGGUGGCUAAUACCGCAUACUAUCGGAUAACCCAUAUGGGAUUAGCUAGUAGGUGGGGUAAAGGGUCACCUAGGCGACGAUCUCUAGCUGGUCUGAGAGGAUGAUAAGCCACAUUGGGACGGAGACACGGCCCAUACUCCUACGGAGGCAGCAGUGGGGAAUAGUGCACAAUGGGCGCAAGCCUGAUGCAGCCAUGCCGCGUGUAUGAAGAAGGCCUUAGGGGUGUAAAGUACUUUCAGCGGUGAGGCGUUACCCGCAUAAGAAGCACCGGCUAACUCCGUGCCAGCAGCCGCGGUAAUUC